UACAGAGGUCCCGAGCGUUGUUCGGAUUCACUGGGCGUAAAGGGUGCGUAGGUGGCUUGAAAAGUUUGAUGUGAAAGCUCAGGGCUUAACCCUGAAAUGGCAUUGAAUACUGUCGAGCUGGAGGUUUGGAGGGGGACUGGAAUUCUUGGUGUAGCAGUGAAAUGCGUAGAUAUCAAGAGGAACACCAGUGGCGAAGGCGAGUCCCUGGCCUGUUCUUGACGCUGAGGCGCGAAAGCUAGGGGAGCAAACGGG
rnacentral:rRNA from 1 species